AGCAAUCUUGCGCACUCUUCUGAAAAACUUCACUCCUGGUUGCUCUGUAUCGAUUCACCGUCUCCUUGUUCCAGGGCGCAGCGCUUGCUCGUUUCAGCUCUGUUGCCAUGCCACAGGCAGCACCGUACAAGAUCGCGCUGUGCCAGCUGCCGGUCACCGCGGACAAGCACGGCAACAUCGCCCGCGCGCGCGCCCGCAUCGACGCCGCCGCGGCCGCCGGCGCCAAGCUC
rnacentral:rRNA from 1 species